UAUUUCUUUUAAUUAGCUUAUUCUUUCAUACGUUGAAUACGUUUUUGGUUAUUGUGUAAGAGAUGUUAAUCAGAAUUUUUAUUUCGCUUCCGCAUUUAAAGUUUUUAAUACAUACAUCUUCACUUGAAUUUCCGGGGUCGUUACAGUUGGUAUAAGAGCCGCGUUCCUCAGACUCGUCCUUUACACAAUAAUAUUUAGAGAAAUACCAACCGAUUAAUCGUUAAUCAACCCUUCCUUAUGAAAUGCGAGUGCAGAGAGAUGAGGAGAGGAAGACCCCCACUAAACCAAGUAGCCCGGGAUGAUUCACUUCAGAAAGAUGUGGACAGAAUAUUUGAGAU
rnacentral:lncRNA from 1 species